UACGUAGGUGGCAAGCGUUAUCCGGAAUUAUUGGGCGUAAAGAGCGCGCAGGUGGUUGAUUAAGUCUGAUGUGAAAGCCCACGGCUUAACCGUGGGGGGUCAUUGGAAACUGGUCGACUUGAGUGCAGAAGAGGGAAGUGGAAUUCCAUGUGUAGCGGUGAAAUGCGUAGAGAUAUGGAGGAACACCAGUGGCGAAGGCGGCUUCCUGGUCUGUAACUGACACUGAGGCGCGAAAGCGUGGGGAGCAAACAGGAUUAGAUACCCU
rnacentral:rRNA from 1 species